AUUGAACGCUGGCGGCGUGCUUAACACAUGCAAGUUGAACGAAGUGGCGGAUGGGCGAGUAACACGUGAGGAACCUGCCUUUCACAGGGGAAUAACACUGGGAAACCAGUGCUAAUACCGCAUAGUGCAAGAGGGCCUCGCGCCUGAUUAGCUCGUAGGUGCGGUAACGGCUCACCUAGGUGAUGAUCAGUAGCCGGAAUGAAGGUGGAUCGGCCGCAUUGGGACUGAGACACGGCCCAGACUCCUACGGGAGGCAGAAGGGGGGAAUAUUGGGCAAUGGCGCAAGCCUGACCCAGCAACGCCGCGUGAAGGAAGACGGUCUUCGGAUUGUAAACUUCUUGAGACAGGGACGCGGUACCUGUAGAAGAAGCCACGGCUAACUACGUGCCAGCCGCCGCGGUAAUAC
rnacentral:rRNA from 1 species